GACAGAGGAUGCAAGCGUUAUCCGGAUUUAUUGGGUUUAAAGGGUGCGUAGGCGGCCUGUUAAGUCAGGGGUGAAAGACGGUAGCUCAACUAUCGCAGUGCCCUUGAUACUGAUGGGCUUGAAUACACUAGAGGUAGGCGGAAUGUGACAAGUAGCGGUGAAAUGCAUAGAUAUGUCACAGAACACCGAUUGCGAAGGCAGCUUACUAUGGUGUCAUUGACGCUGAGGCACGAAAGCGUGGGGAUCAAACAGG
rnacentral:rRNA from 1 species